GGCGACAUGGCCGAGUUGGUCUAAGGCGUGAGACUAAGGUGUACAUCUAAUCUCAUCUCUUCGGGGGCGUGGGUUCAAAUCCCACUGUCGUCA
rnacentral:tRNA from 1 species